UAGUUAGCUUAGUUGGUAGUGCGUCUGCCUUGUAAGCGCUAGGCCGCGGGUUCGAUUCCCGCACUA
rnacentral:tRNA from 1 species